GCAACGAGCGCAACCCCUGCAUUCAGUUGCCAUCGGUAAGGCCGGGCACUCUGGAUGGACUGCCGGCGACAAGCCGGAGGAAGUGGGGACGACGUCAAGUCAUCAUGGCCCUUAUGUCCAGGGCGACACACGUGCUACAAUGGCCGGCACAACGGGAAAGCGAAGGGGCGACCCUGAGCGGAUCCCACAAAAGCCGGUCUCAGUUCGGAUUGAAGUCUGCAACUCGACUUCAUGAAGCUGGAAUCGCUAGUAAUCGCAGAUCAGCCAAGCUGCGGUGAAUACGUUCCCGGGCCUU
rnacentral:rRNA from 1 species